AUGAACGCUGGCGGCGUGCCUCAUACAUGCAAGUCGCGCGAACAGACGAGGAGCUUGCUCCUCUGACGUUAGCGGCGGACGGGUGAGUAACACGUGGAUAACCUACCUAUAAGACUGGGAUAACUUCGGGAAACCGGAGCUAAUACCGGAUAAUAUAUUGAACCGCAUGGUUCAAUAGUGAAAGACGGUUUUGCUGUCACUUAUAGAUGGAUCCGCGCCGCAUUAGCUAGUUGGUAAGGUAACGGCUUACCAAGGCAACGAUGCGUAGCCGACCUGAGAGGGUGAUCGGCCACACUGGAACUGAGACACGGUCCAGACUCCUACGGGAGGCAGCAGUAGGGAAUCUUCCGCAAUGGGCGAAAGCCUGACGGAGCAACGCCGCGUGAGUGAUGAAGGUCUUCGGAUCGUAAAACUCUGUUAUUAGGGAAGAACAAAUGUGUAAGUAACUAUGCAUGUCUUGACGGUACCUAAUCAGAAAGCCACGGCUAACUACGUG
rnacentral:rRNA from 1 species